AUUGAAUGCUGGCGGCAUGCCUUACACAUGCAAGUCGAACGGCAGCACGGGAGCAAUCCUGGUGGCGAGUGGCGAACGGGUGAGUAAAGUAUCGGAACGUGCCCGGUCGUGGGGGAUAACGUAGCGAAAGAUACGCUAAUACCGCAUACGAUCUAUGGAUGAAAGCGGGGGAUCGCAAGACCUCGCGCGAUUGGAGGGGCCGAUAUCAGAUUAGGUAGUUGGUGGGGUAAAGGCUCACCAAGCCGACGAUCUGUAGCUGGUCUGAGAGGACGACCAGCCACACUGGGACUGAGACACGGCCCAGACUCCUACGGGAGGCAGCAGUGGGGAAUUUUGGACAAUGGGCGAAAGCCUGAUCCAGCCAUGCCGCGUGCAGGAUGAAGGCCCUCGGGUUGUAAACUGCUUUUGUACGGAACGAAAAGGUUUGGCCUAAUAAGCUGAGCUCAUGACGGUACCGUAAGAAUAAGCACCGGCUAACUACGUGCCAGCCGCCGCCGUAA
rnacentral:rRNA from 1 species